AUUGAACGCUGGCGGCAGGCUUAACACAUGCAAGUCGAGCGGAGAUGAGGUGCUUGCACCUUAUCUUAGCGGCGGACGGGUGAGUAAUGCUUAGGAAUCUGCCUAUUAGUGGGGGACAACAUUCCGAAAGGAAUGCUAAUACCGCAUACGUCCUACGGGAGAAAGCAGGGGAUCUUCGGACCUUGCGCUAAUAGAUGAGCCUAAGUCGGAUUAGCUAGUUGGUGGGGUAAAGGCCUACCAAGGCGACGAUCUGUAGCGGGUCUGAGAGGAUGAUCGGCCACACUGGGACUGAGACACGGCCCAGACUCCUACGGGAGGCAGCAGUGGGGAAUAUUGGACGAUGGGGGAACCCUGAUCCAGCCAUGCCGCGUGUGUGAAGAAGGCCUUAUGGUUGUAAAGCACUUUAAGCGAGGAGGAGGCUACUGAGACUAAUACUCUUGGAUAGUGGACGUUACUCGCAGAAUAAGCACCGGCUAACUCUGUGCCAGCAGCCGCCGUAAAAC
rnacentral:rRNA from 1 species